rnacentral:rRNA from 1 species
AGGACGAACGCUGGCGGCGUGCUUAACACAUGCAAGUGGAGCGACGAACCGGGGCUUGCCCCGGGGCAGAGCCGCGAACGGGUGAGUAACACGUGGGUUACCUGCCUUGAUGACCGGGACAACCCGAGGAAACUCGGGCUAAUACCGGAUGUGCCCGCAAGGGGAAAGGAAGCUUCGGCCUCCGCAUCAAGAUGGGCCCGCGGCCCAUUAGCUUGUUGGUGAGGUAACGGCUCACCAAGGCUUCGAUGGGUAGCUGGUCUGAGAGGACGAUCAGCCACACUGGGACUGAGACACGGCCCAGACUCCUACGGGAGGCAGCAGUGGGGAAUUUUGCGCAAUGGGGGAAACCCUGACGCAGCAACGCCGCGUGGAGGAUGAAAUAUCUUGGUAUGUAAACUCCUUUCGAUGGGGAAGAUAAUGACGGUACCCAUAGAAGAAGCCCCGGCUAACUUCGUGCCAGCAGCCGC